AGGGAAUCUUCCGCAAUGGGCGAAAGCCUGACGGAGCAACGCCGCGUGAGUGAUGAAGGUCUUCGGAUCGUAAAACUCUGUUAUCAGGGAAGAACAAAUGUGUAAGUAACUGUGCACAUCUUGACGGUACCUGAUCAGAAAGCCACGGCUAACUACGUGCCAGCAGCCGCGGUAAUACGUAGGUGGCAAGCGUUAUCCGGAAUUAUUGGGCGUAAAGCGCGCGUAGGCGGUUUUUUAAGUCUGAUGUGAAAGCCCACGGCUCAACCGUGGAGGGUCAUUGGAAACUGGAAAACUUGAGUGCAGAAGAGGAAAGUGGAAUUCCAUGUGUAGCGGUGAAAUGCGCAGAGAUAUGGAGGAACACCAGUGGCGAAGGCGACUUUCUGGUCUGUAACUGACGCUGAUGUGCGAAAGCGUGGGGAUCAAACAGGAUUAGAUACCCUGGUAGUCCACGCCGUAAACGAUGAGUGCUAAGUGUUAGGGGGUUUCCGCCCCUUAGUGCUGCAGCUAACGCAUUAAGCACUCCGCCUGGGGAGUACGACCGCAAGGUUG
rnacentral:rRNA from 1 species